UUGGAGGGCAGUCUGGUGCAGCAGCCGCGGUAAUUCCAGCUCCAAUAGCGUAUAUUAAAGUUGUUGCAGUUAAAAAGCUCGUAGUUGAACUUCGGGGUUUACCCAUUGGUCAGGCUUAAUUGUCUGUACUGGUGAGAUGAAUCUCUACCUUCUGAGGAACUUUCAUGCCAUUUAUUUGGUGUGAUUGGAAAUCAGGACUGUUACUUUGAAAAAAUUAGAGUGUUUAAAGCAGGCUAACGUCUGAAUACAUUAGCAUGGAAUAAUGAAAUAGGACGGACUGAUUCUAUUUCGUUGGUUUCUAGGAUCACCGUAAUGAUUAAUAGGGAUAGUUGGGGGCAUUAGUAUUCAAUUGUCAGAGGUGAAAUUCUUGGAUUUAUUGAAGACUAACUACUGCGAAAGCAUUUGCCAAGGAUGUUUUCAUUAAUCAAGAACGAAAGUUAGGGGAUCGAAGACGAUCAGAUACCGUCGUAGUCUUAACCAUAAACUAUGCCGACUAGGGAUCGGACGAAGUUAAUUUUAUAAUGACGCGUUCGGCGCCUUACGGGAAAC
rnacentral:rRNA from 1 species